UACGUAGGGUGCGAGCGUUGUCCGGAUUUAUUGGGCGUAAAGAGCUCGUAGGCGGUCUGUCGCGUCGGCUGUGAAAACCCGGAGCUCAACUCCGGGCCUGCAGUCGAUACGGGCAGACUGGAGUUCGGCAGGGGAGACUGGAAUUCCUGGUGUAGCGGUGAAAUGCGCAGAUAUCAGGAGGAACACCGGUGGCGAAGGCGGGUCUCUGGGCCGAUACUGACGCUGAGGAGCGAAAGCGUGGGGAGCGAACAGG
rnacentral:rRNA from 1 species